CGAAUACCUGUUUUGAGAGUGACUGAAUGCCAGGCUGAUGGAUGAAGGGAAAACCUCAUAUCUUCAUGGUGCAUCACUGGCCAGCACAGUCCCCAUGGUAAUAGUCCCUUGCUCUGAAAACAAGACUGUGUGUAGGGGAGAGGAGGAGUGCUGUGUUUUCUUCCUAUGAAAAGAAAAAAGAAAAGACUCCAGAUGGAGAGCCUCAAAUUGUCGGCAGAUUUUUUGAAAUUCCCCUGGAAUUUGUAUUGGUGAUGCAGAGCUUGGUGCAGACUGACAAUUUUCAGGAGGCCCCAGGGCAUGUCACAGUUCACUCUUCAGUGAAUAACCCCAUGGAGGGCAGGGCAGACCAAAUAAGAAAAGAAACGAAAUGAAGAUGGGCACUGCAUCUGUAAUGGGAUAAGUCGACCAGUCCCCUUUUCUUCUCCUUUUGGUUCUUCAGGUAUGUAAUUAAUAUUUCUUAUCCACAGACUCAAGAUGCCCUUUUCCAGAACAUGUAAUCUUAAGUUGACUUAAUAAGCUGUACUUCUGAUCUCAGAUCUUCCUACACAUUGGGUUUCAGUUCACUCACCACAUCUGGGGAUUCACAGAGGUCUAGGCCACUCUUGGUCAUAAUUAGGAACUGACUUGGGCAACACCGGGAAUCAGAACUUUUUUUAAAAAAAAAGUAUUUCCCCUGAACAAAGAGAAGUUCCUCCUUUGGCGAAACACAUCUUUGCAGAACUAAUGGUUAAUUUCUUGUUUACUUAGAGGGCAUUUUAUCUCCUCCCUGGAAUCUCAAUUAGACAAGUAGGGCCCCUUCCCCACCUCAUUCUCCCCUCACCCCAGACACACACACUUGCUUUCAACCUCUUUGCUGCUGAAGGUGUCCCUUUGCUUUGGCACACGCACAAGGGGAGAACAGUCUCUUCAAGGAUAUCUUUUAAAGUGAGAAGAGCAGGGUCGGCAACUGCAACCACAGCAAACAGUCCACAUCCAGGGUGCACAGUCUUGCCUCAUAGGUGAGAAUUCGGGCCAAUUCAAAUAUUUCCAAAACACCUCUCAGAGCCAAACACUGAGCCCUGGGCUCUUAAGGAGCAAACACUGCAGUCCUCAACUCAGGGAUGCAGCCCUCCCUGUUUAUGUUUGAUUAGGUUCACAUAGGAAUAUUGACAGUCCAUAGAUUUUAAGUUACUACUAGGUCUCGUCUCUGAGAUUUUCAGAACUCCAUACCAUCGCUGUGAUUGGAUGCAGUCUGUACUAAACUCUUAAUAAUCAUCAUUAAUGUUUAAUAGAACCAAGCAAUGUACAAGCUGCUAUUACAUUCACUGUGUCUGGUACAUAGUAGGUACUGUGAAAUGAGAAAUGGAUGAAUGCAAAAUGACGCAAUUUUUAAGUGAUUAAAAUGACCGGGGGAUGUUGAGAACUUUCCAUGGUGUUAGUGAGCUUCACUUUCCAGAAGCAAUUUCCAAACAUUUAUAUUUAUGACGGCAUUCCAUCUAGAUUUCCAAAACAGUUCCCAUUUUGAUUAGUUUGCCUUCUUGUUACCAUAAAUACCCUUGUACUGGCCAUAUUGGGUACCUUGUAUUCUUAGUUUACAGUCAGCAUAAUUAAGACUUGCUGCAUUUUUUGCUGCAAUAACCAGGCCUCUUAAACAUAAAAAGCAGUCCUAGGUCACUCUCAAUUUCUAGGCUGCAAGCAUACUAUAUGUGUGUGUAUAUCUGUGUGUAUGAAGAUUGCCAAAUCAAAGUUACAAAAGUUGUGAGGUGAUUUACACAUCAGCAUUAAACAAUUUAAUACCUUGAAGCCCCCCAAAAUACAAUGUAAUAUAAUUGUGCUAUUCACCUGAAAUUUAUAUAAUUCUGUGUGGGCAGGCACACACACAGACACUCACCCUCUUUGGAUGGUGUGGUUUGUUACUGGGUC
ensembl:lncRNA